UACAGAGGGUGCGAGCGUUUGUUCGGAAUUAUUGGGCGUAAAGGGCGCGUAGGCGGUGCGGUAAGUCACCUGUGAAAUCUCCUGGCUCAACUGGGAGCUUGCAGGCGAAACUGCCGUGCUGGAGUGUGGAAGAGGUGAGUGGAAUUCCGAGUGUAGAGGUGAAAUUCGUAGAUAUUCGGAGGAACACCAGUGGCGAAGGCGGCUCACUGGUCCAUUACUGACGCUGAGGUGCGAAAGCGUGGGGAGCAAACAGG
rnacentral:rRNA from 1 species